rnacentral:rRNA from 1 species
UACAGAGGGGGCAAGCGUUGUUCGGAAUUACUGGGCGUAAAGGGCUCGUAGGUGGCCAACUAAGUCAGACGUGAAAUCCCUCGGCUUAACCGGGGAACUGCGCUUGAUACUGGAUGGCUUGAGAUUGGGAGAGGGAUGCGGAAUUCCAGGUGUAGCGGUGAAAUGCGUAGAUAUCGGGAGGAACACCAGUGGCGAAGGCGGCGACCUGGGCCAAUACUGACGCUGAGGUGCGAAAGCGUGGGGAGCAAACAGG